AGAGAGGAAUUAAAUCAGCUUCAUCCUUUCCCCCCUCCCCAUGUUUUCUAAAUAGUCUGAGUGCAUCUUUUUCCACAGAAUGAUUGGCUCUAGGAGUGAACAGCUGACACCUACAAACUGCCUGCUCAAUCACAAACUAAAUGUGGCCGCAGGCUUUUAAGCUUUCCUGACCUAUAACCAGGCUGUAUUUGGUACAGGGUGGGGUGAGAGGGCUAAAAAUAAAGAAAUGCUUGUUUCCUUACCCAUGGCUACCCAGACAGCAAAUGCCUCACACAAACACACAGCUGUCAGUGUCCGAGAAUACCAAGGGACCUUGGGGAAUGGGAGAGUGAACUGCUGCUUCAUGUCCUGGCCAACACUGGGUUUGCGUCUGGUUAGCACUUUAGCAUUCAGCCUGGACUCUGAUGUUUUGAACAGUUGUUUGGUAAAUGUGAUGGCAGCCACUCCCUCCAAGCUAACUGAUGGCUAAAACGAUGGUGAAGGCAGAAAAUGGGACCAGUCACCAGCCCACACGUUGUGCAAGGAGUCAACAACGGACAGCUAGCAUGAGCUAAUUACCUGCUGGUGAGGAUAACCACCACCGAAGUCCCUGUCUGUUGAAGCUGGGUCCCUGCUCAAGUCUUCAUCGGGGUAAACUGAAGCUCCGUUGCCCAGCCACUCCAUCCCUGCUCAGCAACCAGCUGGCUAGCUCUGCUUAUGCUAGCCGUGUUGGAUCAAUCACUGUGUUGCUGUCUUUGACCAGCUGUCUGCCACAGAUAUGUUUAAUAAGGUUGAGAAGUCAGCAGAGCCGACAGGGAACUGUGAUGCACCGCGUCGGGGAGUUCCGCUCCUUUAAAUGACAACAUAUAACUACAAUAGCAACAGUGCUAAGCAGCCCAGCUACGUCUUUUUACUGGGUGACAAACAGAGCACGUGGUAAACAACUUGACCACGUGACACGGCUUCAAGCAUUUCUACUGAGUUCUAUUCAUUUCUAGUAAUUUCUUCUGUACUGAAUGGACAGGGCUCUGUAGUCAAGUGUGAAGACAACAUCAGAUGGAAAAUUAUAGAGCAAUUCACGAUAAAAUAUAAAGAGAAACUUUGUGUGGAAUUAUCCGUAGAUAUGGCCACAAUAAUUUCUUGGAUACAGUUGUAAACAAUUUUUUUUUCAGGCUAAGAGGUACCUAUAAGUGUUCAAAUUAAAGCCCUUUCUGGGUCGGAUCUGAACUAAA